GGGCCGGUCGUCUAGUGGGAGGAUGUCCGCUUGGCAUGCGGGUGGUCCCGGGUUCGAAUCCCGGCCGGUCCACCA
rnacentral:tRNA from 5 species